GCGCCCGUAGCUCAAUUGGAUAGAGCAUCUGACUACGGAUCAGAAGGUUGCAGGUUCGACUCCUGCCGGGCGCG
rnacentral:tRNA from 1 species